rnacentral:rRNA from 1 species
AACGCUGGCGGCGUGCCUAAUACAUGCAAGUCGAGCGAACAGACGAGGAGCUUGCUCCUCUGACGUUAGCGGCGGACGGGUGAGUAACACGUGGAUAACCUACCUAUAAGACUGGGAUAACUUCGGGAAACCGGAGCUAAUACCGGAUAAUAUAUUGAACCGCAUGGUUCAAUAGUGAAAGACGGUUUUGCUGUCACUUAUAGAUGGAUCCGCGCCGCAUUAGCUAGUUGGUAAGGUAACGGCUUACCAAGGCGACGAUGCGUAGCCGACCUGAGAGGGUGAUCGGCCACACUGGAACUGAGACACGGUCCAGACUCCUACGGGAGGCAGCAGUAGGGAAUCUUCCGCAAAGGGCGAAAGCCUGACGGAGCAACGCCGCGUGAGUGAUGAAGGUCUUCGGAUCGUAAAACUCUGUUAUUAGGGAAGAACAAAUGUGUAAGUAACUAUGCACGUCUUGACGGUACCUAAUCAGAAAGCCACGGCUAACUACGUG